GCGGAAGGAAGGUGGGAGUUGUAGUCCGAGGAGGAGUUGAUGCUCCUAUUGGCUGCAACUGGAGGCUCGCAGGCGUUUGGAUGGGGGCACGGAUGAGCGCGGAAUCCCUGGGAGCCGCGGGGCGCAGGGACAGGCUGUCAAUGUCAGGAUAGGAAGCUGGUGACAGUGAAGGUCCUUUUGUUGUCAUUGUCCUCGCUUGAAGUAGCCACAGAGAUCCUGGCGAAAGCCAACAAAGGAAGAAGAACCUGCUUGGCUACACAAUGAGGGAAGGUUGUUCCCCUCUUCCUAAUUCUGUGUCUUCUCAUCCAACCACCUCUUUGGAAGACCCCAGACCAUCCACUUCUGCUAUGGCACUAGAGGAACUGGAUAGUCCCAGACGACAUGGGAAACUACAAAGGAAAGGAAUGGAGACCAGAGAUGCUUCAACAGUUCUAGCACCAACAUCACAGCCAAAGGAAGGAAGUACCAGCAUGGAGGCCUUUCGCCUGUCCCUAGAGGAUCUCAGGGUAGCGGUCCUCCAGAACUUGAAAACCAUGAACCGUCGUCUUGAGGCACAGAACAGAAGACUCUGCGCUCUGGAAGAAUGGAGAGCGGAGUCAGAGGCCCAUAGAAACGGUUUGCCCUAACCCUCCACGUUCUUCAGUCCUCCACCUUGUUUCAUUUUCCAUUUGUUUUAGGGUUUUGUAUGUAUUUAAAUAAACCUUUUGCGAAGGGAGGCGUCAAACAAA